UACGGAGGGUGCAAGCGUUAUCCGGAUUCACUGGGUUUAAAGGGUGCGUAGGUGGGCAGGUAAGUUCAGUGGUGAAAUCUCCGGGCUUAACUCGGAAACUGCCAUUGAUACUAUCUUCUUGAAUACCGUGGAGGUCAGCGGAAUAUGUCAUGUAGCGGUGAAAUGCUUAGAUAUGACAUAGAACACCAAUUGCGAAGGCAGCUGGCUACACGAAUAUUGACACUGAUGCACGAAAGCGUGGGGAUCAAACAGGGA
rnacentral:rRNA from 1 species